UACGAAGGGGACUAGCGUUGUCCGGAUUUACUGGGCGUAAAGGGCGCGUAGGCGGCCACCGCAAGUCGACUGUGAAAUCUCCGGGCUUAACCCGGAAAGGUCAGCCGAUACUGCGGGGCUAGAGUGCAGAAGGGGCAACUGGAAUUCUCGGUGUAGCGGUGAAAUGCGUAGAUAUCGAGAGGAACACCUGCGGCGAAGGCGGGUUGCUGGGCUGACACUGACGCUGAAGCGCGAAAGCUAGGGGAGCGAACGGG
rnacentral:rRNA from 1 species